rnacentral:lncRNA from 1 species
CAGGAACGGUAAAUUUUGUUCGAAAGCAACUGAACACAAAUUUAACCUAACUUAUUUUCAAUGUUUUUUUUUUAUUUAGUAUUUCCUGAAUAUGCAAAUAAUCUCUUCAAACUGGAAGGAAAUCACCUAUAAUUCAUCAAGCCUUUCAUGAAGGAAGAUACACCGCACCGUUGAAUGAAGAAGGUAUGAAAAUCAAACAAAAACACAGAUGUAUGUUAUAUUUUAUGUAACAUGAGCACACAUGAUAGAAAGAUAAUAUUGCGGAUAUAUAUAUAAUAUGAUUUUGUUCAAAAUGUUUUUUAGCAUGUCUAACAUUAGGAAAUGUGGAAAACUUCAAUUUUUUUUCAAAGGCAAUUGUUUUUUACAGUUUAGCUAGCAGAAUGCCUUAACAUUUUAUGUUAUCUAGUUGUCUCGAACCCAAAUAAGAAAAUGCAUGGCAUUUGAAAUAGCUUAUAGUCUAAAUAGCAUAGGAGUACUAUCUAUUAAACAAAGUAUAUCAAAAAUAUGAUAAACACCAUCUAUUCUAAAUAAAGAUAUCGACAAUUCUAGGUUAUUUGGGUAUUGAGUUAAAGUAUACAGCUUUGGAUAUUUAAAGACAACGGAAAUGCAUAGUAUAGGUGUCUUCCUAAUCCACUUGCAUACAUUUCAAACAUUACUGAAUAUGUUAUAUGAAAAAUAUUUUCCAUUGUAUAACCCUAUCAUAAGUGGCAAAAAAUCUCAAAAAUUUUUAAAGUGACGCCUCCACUUUUUAUUUCUAUUAUCCUACUAAUUUUAAAUUUAAACUUGAUAUUUUAUCUUUUUCGAAAACAAUUGUUAUUGCUAUAAUAUGACAAAGUAAGACAAAAUAUAUUAGAUUAUAUAUCGAUUAACAUGUUAACUAACAAUUGUUCCAUUAUUCGUCGGAUUAAAUACGCAUUACAAUUAUUCCUUUGUUACUUAAAAAGAUUGUAUUGGUAUCGUAUUACUUUUUUUAUUCUAUACUUGAAUUAAACUAAAGGAAUAGUUAUAAGGUAAAUGUUUAACAAAACGGCUUUUGGUAAAUGAUCAUAAAACAAAACAAAAACACAUCUAUACAUGGUCAUUCAUACCUUCUACAGUUAUAGCUGAUGACAAUUGUUUUCAAAAAUGGUAACAUAUCUAUAAAAGAAAACGUAUCGACUUUUAACUGCUAACUAAAUUUAGUCAGAUGCACCGAAUUUUGCUAGUUAAAGGUAAAAGAACUAGUUAAAAUUUACCACACUGUGUUUUUUGUUUGGUAAAACAGUCCCUCCCAAAGGAAAAUCUAAAAUAGGGAUAUCUUUGAUACAAAACGAUUGAACGAUACUGUUACAGCAAUGCAAUAUGUUGUAUCUUCACAUUUUAAAUCAUAAAGUUCUACUGUCUAAGAAAAGUACAUGUAUUUAAAAAUAAGUGUUGGUUUUCAUAAUAUUUUCAACAUAAAAAUAUUGAACAUGUUUUAUACUCCAAUUCUUAGAAAGAAAAUACUAAAAAAAAAUUACAAUGUCACGUUUUAUACAAAAUAAGACGAUAAUAAAGCAAUAAAAACAAAUCUUUGCAUUGCUACCUAUUUCAAACAUCAUUGGAGCAAGAAAGAAAUUAAACAUUUAAGAUAAUAAGUGAUUCAAAACAAUCAAAACAAAAACAUGUUGAAAUAAAAAUUACAAAUUCUUGAAAAUACGCUUUUCCUUUUAUAAUAUCAUCAUUUAAUGCAUAGCUCUUUUAAAUAAUUAAAAUUUUCAUACUUUUUUCUCCCAAUUUUCAAUGAUCAGUUCUAUAAGAUUUAUCUAACGUGAAGAGAGCUUGGCAACUGUCAUUACACUCUAGGCAUAGGAUGGUAUGUGCAUAUUUCGACCGUGCAUUAAUAUACGAUUAUACAUUAUGCAUUGCUAUACAAAAAGCAAUAAAACAAUACCAAUAAAAGUACAUUUCUAAUUUGUUAUCCAGCGUUAGCAGGUCAUACUGUUAGUAUAUUGUUACUAUACUAAGAAUUGUCUAGUAUGUAGCAUAGCAGGUAGUUCACGUGAUAUACAAACUUAUUCUAAGAUCUGCCUAAUUGUUUUGAACAAAUGAAAUCAUCAUAUACAACCAAUAUAAAUGAUGGAGAAAAAACGAAAGUUUGGUUAGUCUCUGAUUUUAAUUUAAACUCUACGCGGUUCUUUAGAGCACUCUGUAUAUUACUUUUUAUAUACAUAUAUUUGGUUAGUAUGGCGAAAUUAUAACACAAAUGGUUUACUUUCUAGAAAUGCUUCAUAUUUGCUAAAGCAAUGAUAGUAAAUCUAUUUUAGAAGAAACUAUAAUCUUAUUUACAUAUUGUUUAGACAAAACAUCUAAUGUAACACACUUAAUAAGCCAAAUGCUUGCCGCAAGUCCGUGUAUAUAAUUACAGAUAUGUGGCGUCAAAUAGAGGUUAUAUCUCUAUUAAUAAGAUUUGAUUGCCUUUUGAAGCUGUUCCCAAAAAACAACAUCGCCGUACUCAUCAUUUGGAUACUCAAUAUAUGAUUGACAAUGAACCAGUUCAAGUAUUUUAAGUGGAAGAUCGCAAGCAGACAUUUGCUCGUAAAAUACUAGGAAAAGGAUGUUCUCACAAUGACGUUCAUAGAUACUCUCCAUUUUAGCCAUAUUAUAUUCGAACAUACACCAGUACGAAGCUAAAUAAUUUGCAGACAUUAUGACAAUAGUUUUCCGGCUGUUAUGAAUUGCGGAUGUGAUAUUAGUGGCGAUGUCAUUUCCGGGUAGGAAAUUCCGCCUAUGCAAGCACAAUUGGAUUCCACCAUUUUUCUCUAGAUUAUUGAGAAGUUUAUGGUGGACAAAUGUGUCAUCCUCAUUUGCAUAUGACACGAACGCAUCAUACAUGUAUAGUCGUUCAUCUUUGUCGUCUGAACGAGGUUCGGGGUCAUGCCAUUUGACUUUGACCAUGUAGUAAAGAUAGCGUAGUUUCCAUCUAUAUCUGUAAACAAUACCACCACAAAGAAUAAAAAUAAACAUCAAUAUUCCUGUCGUUAAUCCAAUUAUUAAGCCUUCAUAUGACAUACAUUCCUUUUGUAUUGUUUUAAAAACUUCUCUAGGGUUUUGCAGAAGACUGAUGGUGUUUUGUGAUGUUUUACAUUCGUAUUCUUCCCGAUGAUGAAGAAUGGUUGAUGUGUAAAUUAUCCAUUUGACGAAAGACUGAGAAUCACAAUUACAUGCAAGAUUAUUUUCAGCAAGGUCAAUAGUAAGAUUUUUAUUAAUUUUGGCAAUCGAGUCCAACUCGUUCAUGGCAUAUUGACUCAGCGUAGUUAUUCUAUUAUUCCGUAAAUUUAAAGAAGUGAGUUUUUUCAUAUGAGAAAGUUUAAAGUUGAUAUCCUCAAUCAUGUUAUCACUGAGGUCUAAUCUUUCUAAAUUGUGUUGCUUUUGAAAUAACAGAUUUGGUAUAUUCGUUAUUUUAUUUUUAGAAAGAUUUAUGUACACGACGUUAUGGAGGUUCUGAAAUAUUUCUCCGUUAACAUCCGUUGGUAAAACAAGUCCUAGAAGAUUGUUUUGUAGCACUAAACAUCUUAAAUUAAUAAAAUCUGAACUAAAAAAUGUCUUUGAAACGUUAGAACAAAAGUUUACUGAAAGGUCCAAAUGUGUCAGUUUUUUUACAUUCGUUAUUGGACCCGUCCAUGUAUGCAAGAUAUUAUCACUCAAAUCUAUAUUUUCUAUUUUAUUUUCAGUGAAACUCAAGUUUGGUAGUUCAAAUUUUACGUUGCUGGACCUCAGCGAAACCUUUAUCAGAUUCCUUGGCAUUGGAAAAACAAACUUACCAGAUCUAUUUUUAAACAGUUCCAAAAUUGGAAGUUCUUUAUAUAACCAAUUAUUUUCAGAAUUGAGGAUAAUAGUGUCUUCUGUAAUAGGACAUUUUUCUACAUAGGAUGAGAUUAUAUCAUAAGGAGAAGUAUUGUCAGACAUUUCUAGUGAUGCAAUUGUCAUAUAUAUUAGAUCAAGCAGAUAUUUGCCUGCAGAAAACAUGUUUUUCCCUAUAUCUACACUUUUGAAUGUUUUAGGUAAAUAUGUAAUUGCUCCGGAUUCUAUUGUCUGGAUACGGUUCCCGGCGGCUUCCAGUCUAACAAUUGACGUAUUCUUUAAAUUCCAAAUGUGAGAAGUUUUCAGGACUGUAGUCUUUUCCAAAAUACCAUGAAUAUAGUUAAAUUUCAAGAUUUCAAUUGCCGAAUGUUGCAAAUCGGUGGUAAUAUUUUCAAGCGCUUCGAAUCUUAAACAUGUGUUUAGAGAAACGUCAAGUUCCAAUAGAUUUCUCAAUAACUUAAACGUUCCUUUGAAAAGAUAUUGUAUUUUGCAUUUGGACAAGUUCAAAUGAGUUAUUUGAGGCAAGUACAAGAAUGUUUUCUCUGUUAGUAUAGUCAAUUUGCAAUUACCAGUUAAUCCAGAUAAAUCUAUUGUUUUAAGGUUUUUAAAAUAGCUGAAUUUCUCAUCGAGAAUUGCAAUUUUGUCUGCAAUAUAAUCUAUUGACAGUGAUUCUAGCGAUCGUAGUUUCCACAAAUCUGGCACGAAUGAUGUAUGGACAUUUCUUUUCAAAUUCAAGUGUUUUAAGUUCUCCAGGAAAUGAAAGGCUGAAUAUUCAAACGACCUGUUUUCAUAUUUCAAAUCAUUGUUGCUAAGAUUCAAAGAGAGUAAAUUUGUGAGUCCUUUGAACGAGUUUUGUCGUACUUGACUAAUCUUAUUGAAAGACAAAUCCAAAGUCGUCAUUAAAGAGUUGCCUACGAAAAUCCCAUCUAGUAUUGUACUGAUAUUAUUAUUUCGGAGAGAUAACUCUUGAAUAUUGCUUGGAAACAUAGGUAUAUGAAGUAGAUCUUUGCCUGAACAAUCUGCAAUAAGAUUUCGUGAACCUGGAACGUCUUUGCAUAGACAGCAACUUGCGAAUUGACAUGCUUUCCAUUCCUUAAUAUCAUGGAGGAUUGCAUUUUUGCAAUUACUUAGUAAAACAAAAGCAGUAACUAACAUGUAAGGAUGGUUG